UACGAAGGGGGCUAGCGUUGUUCGGAAUUACUGGGCGUAAAGGGCGCGUAGGCGGUACUUCAAGUCAGGCGUGAAAGCCCCGGGCUCAACCUGGGAACCGCGCUUGAGACUGGAGAACUAGAGUUCGGGAGAGGAUGGUGGAAUUCCCAGUGUAGAGGUGAAAUUCGUAGAUAUUGGGAAGAACACCGAUGGCGAAGGCAGCCAGCUGGACCGACACUGACGCUGAGGCGCGAAAGCGUGGGGAGCAAACAGG
rnacentral:rRNA from 1 species